rnacentral:rRNA from 1 species
UACGAAGGGUGCAAGCGUUAAUCGGAAUUACUGGGCGUAAAGGGUGCGUAGGCGGUUCGUUAAGUCUGUUGUGAAAUCCCCGGGCUCAACCUGGGAAUGGCAAUGGAUACUGGCGGGCUAGAGUGUGUCAGAGGAUGGUGGAAUUCCCGGUGUAGCGGUGAAAUGCGUAGAGAUCGGGAGGAACAUCAGUGGCGAAGGCGGCCACCUGGGACAACACUGACGCUGAAGCACGAAAGCGUGGGGAGCAAACAGG